UACGUAGGGGGCAAGCGUUGUCCGGAUUUAUUGGGCGUAAAGAGCGUGUAGGCGGCCAAGCAGGUCCGCUGUGAAAACUCGAGGCUCAACCUCGAGACGUCGGUGGAAACCGUUUGGCUAGAGUCCGGAAGAGGAGAGUGGAAUUCCCGGUGUAGCGGUGAAAUGCGCAGAUAUCGGGAAGAACACCCGUGGCGAAGGCGGCUCUCUGGGACGGCACUGACGCUGAUGCGCGAAAGCGUGGGGAGCAAACGGG
rnacentral:rRNA from 1 species